rnacentral:rRNA from 1 species
CCUACGGGUGGCAGCAGUGAGGAAUAUUGGUCAAUGGACGAGAGUCUGAACCAGCCAAGUAGCGUGAAGGAUGACUGCCCUAUGGGUUGUAAACUUCUUUUAUAUGGGAAUAAAACAGGGUAUGCAUACCCUCUUGUAUGUACCAUAUGAAUAAGGAUCGGCUAACUCCGUGCCAGCAGCCGCGGUAAUACGGAGGAUCCGAGCGUUAUCCGGAUUUAUUGGGUUUAAAGGGAGCGUAGGUGGAUGGUUAAGUCAGUGGUGAAAUUUUGCGGCUCAACCGUAAAAUUGCCGUUGAAACUGGUAGUCUUGAGAGGAGUAGCGGUGGGCGGAAUGCGUGGUGUAGCGGUGAAAUGCUUAGAGAUCACGAAGAACACCGAUUGCGAAGGCAGCUCACUGGACUACAACUGACACUGAUGCUCGAAAGUGUGGGUAUCAAACAGGAUUAGAUACCCCAGUAGUC